rfam:Triticum urartu cultivar G1812 contig129914, whole genome shotgun sequence.
AACUUAAACUGCGGCUCCGGCCUCCCCGCGAGUUAAAAGGGAAUCCAGUGCAAAUCUGGAGCUGACGCGCAGCGGUAAAGAAUGUCGUGACAAUAGCGUAACGCAGACACUGUCUCAGGACGGGAAGUCAUUGCCACCAAUGCUCAAAAUACUUCGCGUUACAGGAAGGCGGCAAAUAAGUGAGUCCCAAUGAGCUUACAGUAGUAAGUGAUUCGGGUGAAUGAGUGAAGCCAACGCACAUGUAACGUGCAGUAUGACGAGCAACCGAUUCUGAGCCCGAAGACCUGCCGGAAUAACGUCGCAUUU